GAUGAACGCUAGCUACAGGCUAAACACAUGCAAGUCGAGGGGUCUCGCGAGAGCUUGCUCUUAAGAGACGACCGGCGCACGGGUGAGUAACGCGUAUACAACCUGCGCUUCAUAUUGGGAUAGAAUUCCGAAAGGAAGAUUAUUCCCGAAUAACAUGAGAAAGUCGCAUGAUUCUCUCAUGAAAGCUCCGGCGAUGAAGGAUGGGGAUGCGUUUCAUUAGGUAGUAGGCGGGGUAAAGGCCCCCCUAGCCGACGAUGGAUAGCGGUGCUGAGAGGAAGUUCCGCCCCACUGGAACUGAGACACGGUCCAGAGGCCUACGGGAGGCAGCAGUGAGGAAUAUUGGUCAAUGGUCGCAAGCCUGAACCAGCCAAGUAGCGUGAAGGAUGACUGCCCUAUGUGUUGUAAACUUCUUUUAUACGGGAACAAACCUUGGUACGCGUACCAAAGUGCGUGUACCGUAUGAAUAAGCAUCGGCUAACUCCGUGCCAGCCGCCGCGGUAAUAC
rnacentral:rRNA from 1 species